rnacentral:rRNA from 1 species
AUUGAACGCUGGCGGCAUGCCUUACACAUGCAAGUCGAACGGUAACAGGUCUUCGGAUGCUGACGAGUGGCGAACGGGUGAGUAAUACAUCGGAACGUGCCUAGUAGUGGGGGAUAACUACUCGAAAGAGUGGCUAAUACCGCAUGAGAUCUACGGAUGAAAGCAGGGGAUCGCAAGACCUUGUGCUACUAGAGCGGCCGAUGGCAGAUUAGGUAGUUGGUGGGAUAAAAGCUUACCAAGCCGACGAUCUGUAGCUGGUCUGAGAGGACGAUCAGCCACACUGGGACGGAGACACGGCCCAGACUCCUACGGGGGGCAGCAGUGGGGAAUUGUGGACGAUGGGCGAAAGCCUUAUCCAGCAAUGCCGCGUGCAGGAUGAAGGCCUUCGGGUUGUAAACUGCUUUUGUACGGAACGAAAAGCCCCGGGUUAAUACCCUGGGGUCAUGACGGUACCGUAAGAAUAAGCACCGGCUAACUACGUGCCAGCAGCCGCCGCAG